GAUGAAGAACGCAGCGAAAUGCGAUACGUAGUGUGAAUUGCAGAAUUCAGUGAAUCAUCGAAUCUUUGAACGCACAUUGCGCCCUUUGGUAUUCCAAAGGGCAUGUCUGUUCGAGCGUCAUUUGUACCCUCAAGCUUUGCUUGGUGUUGGGCGUCUUGUCUCCAGUCCGCUGGAGACUCGCCUUAAAGUCAUUGGCAGCCGGCCUACUGGUUUCGGAGCGCAGCACAAGUCGCACUCUUUUCCAGCCAAGGUCAGUGUCCAACAAGCCUUUUUUCAACUUUUGACCUCGGAUCAGGUAGGGAUACCCGCUGAACUUAAGCAUAUCAAUAAGCGGAGGA
rnacentral:misc_RNA from 1 species